AUGAAGAUCCUGCGGCACGGAGCGAGACCUAUGAGCCCACCGCCCCCUUCCAGCCCCGCGCUGGCGCCGGCAGCCACGGCCCCCUCCGCCGUCCAUGCCGGCCAACCUGCCGCCUCCUGGUUCAUGCCCCUCCCGCCCCCUCCUCCCGAGCUGCCGGCCGCUGGCUCGGCGCGCCCCGCUUCUCUGCCGCGGCCAACAGGUGGAUCGUGGGCGGAUCUGGUGUCGCCGCCGUCCCAUGGUCGCGGUGCUGGGACCGCGACGGACUCGGAGUUCGUCCCUGGGUCGCCCAUAGGUGCCGGUCUGCGGGGGUCUGGUUCGGUCGCUCCAUCAACUCGAGCUGCGGCUGGAUCAGCGCGAGCUGCGUCUGGAUCGGGCAUUCACUGCGAGGUGGGUGACGGAAAUAACUGCGCCGCGGCGGGAGCGCGCUCCAGCCCAUCUCCACCAACGGCCUGCUCUUCAAUGCCGGCGACAAGCGCGGGGCGCGAGGCGGAUGUGACCGGAGCCUGGCAUCUCGUCAAAUCGCGGCGAGGCCCGCGCCGCCCGGCUUUGCCUGCCCAGGCAUUCACGUCGUCCCCCAUCCCGUGGUGGCUUAAAGGGCGUUGCUGCCGCUGCCUUGCUCCUGGACACCGCGCCUCAGCUUGCCGUGAGCCAUUUCGGUGCUCUCACUGCCUGCAAAAUGGCCACCGGGCUCGCGGUUGCAAGAAUACGUGGCGUCCAUUAAGCUCCCUGUCGUGCCUCGCCUUCAUCCCUCCGCCGCCACUUCCCCGACCAGCUGCCGCUGCCGUUCAAGAUACCGUUUCCGUCUUCGGCCCGGGAAGGGGCUGGCCUCUCCUCCAACCCCCUCCGCAGCUGCUGCUAGGCGACACCAACCCCGUCAUGUCAAGGCUGGGUGACGCGGCCAACCGGCCGGAGGAAGACUUCGUCGUGGUCCCUGCCACGCCGGAGAUGCAGGCGGAGUCGGCGCUGCUCUCCACCAACGCUGCCGUGGCCUGGUUUGAAGGGCCCCGUGAGGAUGUCCCUUGCCACACCGUGGCCGCUGCGUUCGCCGCCACCUUCGGCUUCCGGCCGGCGGACGUGAGUGUUGUGCGGCACUUCCCCGAGCAGUACCUCGUCAAGUUCAUGUACCAGCACAAUUGCGCGGACGCCGUCAACCGUGGCGACUUCCUCGUCGGCAACUCCUCUCUCUUCGUCCGCGCCUGGAGGCUCAAGGCGCACGCUGACAAUGAAGACAUGAUGCACCACGUCCGUUUGUGCAUCGAGGGGAUCCCGGUCCAUGCUUGGAAUGAGUACAUCGCUGCGUUCGUCAUCGGCCGUCGGUGCUCCCUCGACUACAUCGAGCAGCGGUCUCUGCGCCGGGAGGACACGCGUGACCUGUCGCUCUGGGCGUGGACGUUCGACCCCAACGCCAUUCCUAAGGUGAAGUGGCUCACGCUGCCCGCCCGCGGCCUUCGACGCCGCGGCCGGCAUGGCCUGAGACACCGUGUGCUGCUGCACCUGGACCUGCUCGAGGACCACUCUAAGGCGCGGGACGACGAUGACGACCCACCACCUCCUGACCUCUACGAGUACACCUGGUUCCGCCGUACAGUGGACGGCACGGUGCGGCGGGGAGACAGGCAUGCUGGUCAUCCCAGCGACGUCCAGCGCCCGGCGCGGCGCGACGACGACGACGACCGCGGCGGCCGCCGCGGGCGUGAUGGCCCGCGCGCACAGGGCGGUUGGCGCGACCGCAUCCGUCGCUCCCUGACCAGGGGCGCCCGUGACCGUCAGCGGCAAGAUGGCCAGGAGAGGUCCCGUGAUCGCUCGAGCGGCACGGGCGGGAGGCGCCAUGGCGCUGAAGCUGUGGCCGCCCUGGGUGACGCUGCGCCGGCCGCGCCACCCUUGGUCCUGAUGGGCUCUGGCUCCGCUAGUGACGAAGGGGCAGGCGCCUUGGAGCUACAGCCGGUGCGUGGCCACAGCCCGGCACGCCAAGGCUCGCCGCGGGCUGCACGCAGACGCUCCCAGGAGAGUCUUACGCCACCGGUCUCGCCGCCGCUUUCCCUCACGUCGGUGCUGCCUCGACUUGCUUGCUCCAGGAGGGACGAGGCUCGGGCAGUGACAGCACCUCUGGCGGUCCCGUCCCCGACGGUGUUGCAGCUGUGCUCACCAACGCAUCUGCUCCCUCCUCUGUCGCCGGUGAAGCCCCCUGGGUUCGAGGCUUCGCCCACCCCCCCGCUCAUCUCCAAUGGGCCGCUUCAGCGCACACCAUCCCCGGUGCGGCUCCGCAGGGCUGCUGCUGAUCUGCAGCCAGCUGGGGUUGGCCUGACCGUGCUCUUUGAAGAUCGGCAGGAGCCCUUGCUGCCCUCCCCUGCAUCAACGCCUCCCGGGCCUCCUGCUGCGCGUCGUAAGACUCUUGCUGGAGUGAACAUUGCCCGAACAAGUGCGGGCCUCUCGCUGCACAGGACCAGUGCAAGGCUCAAAGCUGCUGGCAGAGCAAGGGUGGUGCCGGCGCCAGCGGCUAAGGCGGCUGAGAUCCUGGUUGCUCGUAGUCUGGGGAUCAUUAAGGAUGGAGAAGACAUCACGGCCAAGGCCCUGGAUGCAUUUACUGAGCGUUUCAAGGAGCAGUUGCCGCUGGAGGUGAUAUCUGCCAUGCGAGACUUGUUCAGGUUAGAUGAUGUGCAGGCAAUGGAUGUGGAGGACGCCCUCAUCUAG
rnacentral:rRNA from 1 species